GUAUAGUUAAAAGUCCCAGUGCUGUUUAACUCUACUCCAAUCAAAUUACUUGGUCGUAUUAUAAAUACUUGUGAACAUGAGUUCUUUCCGCCCUUUUCAUGGAAAGCAGUGGGAACGUUUUACUUGCGGUUGCUUUUAGUAAAGUUCAAAAUGCUUUGGCAGUGCGUUAUCGGCUGCGUUUUUUAUGACUUUUUCAUUUUUCAUUGAAACUGUUAUUGAGCCAUAUCAAUAGAUUGCACAGUCGCAGCCCUGAUUUCUGGUUGCUCUGUGGUAUUGACGGAUGCACUGAGGAAUAUAGUGUACCAUUCCUUCUAUCAUCAUGUAAAGAGAAACCACCUUCAACACCUACUUGAUUGCACCCGACCAGAUGAACAGCCAUCGGAAGAAAGCCAAGUACCACCGGAACAAGACAACAUUCAACCCGAUCAGCUUCUAGCUAACUCCAGCAUCACUGAUCAACAACUCCAUACAUCUGACUCAGAUGAAGGGCAAAGGGGCAUUGACCAACAUGAAGCUGUCACAGUGCAGCAAGAUCUGACAACACAUGCCACUGCUUUUGUGAUAAAUGAGAGCCAAGCAUCGUCUCUCACAGGCAUGAAUGACAUUGUUGCUGGGGUACAGCAGUAUCAAUCAUCACUAUUGGACAACCUCAGGAAGCAGAUGGAGUCAGUGCUAAGGAAGCGUUCAGGAAGCACAUCAGGUCAACUUGAAAAAGAUGCAAUGGAUAUAUUUGACAAUUUCAUUGACCCUUUUGCUGGCGUUGCAACAACAUUUAGACAAGACAGUGUUAUUAAGAAGCAGUUUAGCAGUUUGGAUGCAGAGGAAAUUCCAAUUGCUUGAACCAUAUGCAGGAUGAAAUGUGGAGGUUCAAAAUACAUUUUCAUCAAAGACAAAUUAUUUCAUUAUGUACCAUUAGUCAAAAGUCUAGAACAGUUCUUAUCACACCCAAGGAUUUUGUCUAUGGUUGAAAAGGGACCCCAGAUGUGUAACGGGCGUCGUAUGUAGUAGACCAAGGCGCAGCGGGUUGAGUGCUCAUCUUAAACUUUUAUUGAACACUUACAAAACAAGAAACCGAACACACAGUAUUGCA